ensembl:lncRNA
CCCCAGCUCAGUACAAGCUGCCUUCAGGUAGUUAUAGAGAGCAAUAAGGUCUCCCCUGAGCCUCCUCUUCUCCAGACUGAACAAUCCCAGCUCCUUCAGCUGCUCCUCAUAAGGCCUGUGCUCCAGACCCCUCACCAGCUUUGUUGCCCUCCUCUGGACACGCUCCAGGGCCUCGAUGUCUUUCUUACAGUGAGGGGCCCAAAACUGGACACAGUACUCAAGGUGCGGCCUCACCAGUGCUGAGUACAGGGGGAUAAUUACUUCCCUGUUCCUGCUGGCCACACUAUUUCUGAUACAAGCCAGGAUGUCAUUGGCCUUCUUGGCCACCUGGGCACACUGCUGGCUCACGUUCAGUCUAGUGUCAAUCAACACCCCCAGGUCCAUUUCCUCUACACAGUCUUCCAGCCACUCCACCCCAAGCCUGCAGCGUUGCCUGGGGUUGUUGCAGCCAAAGUGCAGGACCCAGCAUUUGGUCUUGUUGAACCUCAUCC